rnacentral:rRNA from 1 species
UACGUAGGGCGCAAGCGUUUAUCCGGAAUUAUUGGGCGUAAAAGAGCUCGUAGGCGGUUUGUCGCGUCUGCCGUGAAAGUCCGGGGCUCAACUCCGGAUCUGCGGUGGGUACGGGCAGACUAGAGUGAUGUAGGGGAGACUGGAAUUCCUGGUGUAGCAGUGAAAUGCGCAGAUAUCAGGAGGAACACCGGUGGCGAAGGCGGAUCUCUGGGCCAUUACUGACGCUGAGGAGCGAAAGCGUGGGGAGCGAACAGG